rnacentral:rRNA from 1 species
UACGUAGGGGGCAAGCGUUAUCCGGAUUUACUGGGUGUAAGGGGGCGCAGACGGCGAUGCAAGCCAGGAGUGAAAGCCCGGGGCCCAACCCCGGGACUGCUCUUGGAACUGCGUGGCUGGAGUGCAGGAGGGGCAGGCGGAAUUCCUGGUGUAGCGGUGAAAUGCGUAGAUAUCAGGAGGAACACCGGUGGCGAAGGCGGCCUGCUGGACUGCAACUGACGUUGAGGCCCGAAAGCGUGGGGAGCACACAGG